rnacentral:rRNA from 1 species
CAGCAGCCGCGGGAAUACGUAGGUCCCGAGCGUUGUCCGGAUUUAUUGGGCGUAAAGCGAGCGCAGGCGGUUAGAUAAGUCUGAAGUUAAAGGCUGUGGCUUAACCAUAGUACGCUUUGGAAACUGUUUAACUUGAGUGCAGAAGGGGAGAGUGGAAUUCCAUGUGUAGCGGUGAAAUGCGUAGAUAUAUGGAGGAACACCGGUGGCGAAAGCGGCUCUCUGGUCUGUAACUGACGCUGAGGCUCGAAAGCGUGGGGAGCAAACAGGAUUAGAUACCCGCGUAGUCCCUGUCUCUUAUACC